AGGCCACUGCUAUGGGGGUCCGACUAAGCCAUGCGAGUCAUGGGGCGCGCUCUGCGCGCACCGGCGGACGGCUCAGUAACACGUCGGUAACCUACCCUCGGGAGGGGGAUAACCCCGGGAAACUGGGGCUAAUCCCCCAUAGGCCUGAGGUACUGGAAGGUCCUCAGGCCGAAAGGGGCAUCUGCCCGCCCGAGGAUGGGCCGGCGGCCGAUUAGGUAGUUGGUGGGGUAACGGCCCACCAAGCCGAAGAUCGGUACGGGCCAUGAGAGUGGGAGCCCGGAGAUGGACACUGAGACACGGGUCCAGGCCCUACGGGGCGCAGCAGGCGCGAAACCUCCGCAAUGCGGGCAACCGCGACGGGGGGACCCCCAGUGCCGUGGCAUCGCCACGGCUUUUCCGGAGUGUAAAAAGCUCCGGGAAUAAGGGCUGGGCAAGGCCGGUGGCAGCCGCCGCGGUAAUACCGGCGGCCCGAGUGGUGGCCGCUAUUAUUGGGCCUAAAGCGUCCGUAGCCGGGCCCGUAAGUCCCUGGCGAAAUCCCACGGCUCAACCGUGGGGCUUGCUGGGGAUACUGCGGGCCUUGGGACCGGGAGAGGCCGGGGGUACCCCUGGGGUAGGGGUGAAAUCCUAUAAUCCCGGGGGGACCGCCAGUGGCGAAGGCGCCCGGCUGGAACGGGUCCGACGGUGAGGGACGAAGGCCAGGGGAGCGAACCGGAUUAGAUACCCGGGUAGUCCUGGCUGUAAAGGAUGCGGGCUAGGUGUCGGGCGAGCUUCGAGCUCGCCCGGUGCCGAAGGGAAGCCGUUAAGCCCGCCGCCUGGGGAGUACGGCCGCAAGGCUGAAACUUAAAGGAAUUGGCGGGGGAGCACUACAAGGGGUGGAGCGUGCGGUUUAAUUGGAUUCAACGCCGGGAACCUCACCGGGGGCGACGGCAGGAUGAAGGCCAGGCUGAAGGUCUUGCCGGACACGCCGAGAGGAGGUGCAUGGCCGCCGUCAGCUCGUACCGUGAGGCGUCCACUUAAGUGUGGUAACGAGCGAGACCCGCGCCCCCAGUUGCCAGUCCUCCCCGCUGGGGAGGAGGCACUCUGGGGGGACCGCCGGCGAUAAGCCGGAGGAAGGAGCGGGCGACGGUAGGUCAGUAUGCCCCGAAACCCCCGGGCUACACGCGCGCUACAAUGGGCGGGACAAUGGGAUCCGACCCCGAAAGGGGAAGGGAAUCCCCUAAACCCGCCCCCAGUUCGGAUCGCGGGCUGCAACUCGCCCGCGUGAAGCUGGAAUCCCUAGUACCCGCGUGUCAUCAUCGCGCGGCGAAUACGUCCCUGCUCCUUGCACACACCGCCCGUCACUCCACCCGAGCGGGGUCUGGAUGAGGCCUGAUCUCCCUUCGGGGAGGUCGGGUCGAGUCUGGGCUCCGUGAGGGGGGAGAAGUCGUA
rnacentral:rRNA from 1 species